rnacentral:tRNA from 1 species
GCACGGUGGUGCAGCGGUUAGCACUGCUGACUGGCAAGGAGGAGGUUGUGGGUUCGAGUCCUGGCCAGCU